GUAAGUUUUAUGUGAAUGUGUUGUAUACUUUUAAAGUUAUGAAUAUUGUGUAAAACUGUAUUUUCCUGCCUGUGAUAAUUACGUUAGCCCAUUGUGUUCAGUAAUUAUAUCACAGGCAGAGGGGAAGAUUUUGCUGGAAUGAAUGGGAGUGUUUUACUGUAUAUUACGUGUUUGAUUGGCUGUUCCACAAAACCCUGUUAGUGGUACUUUAUGUGUAUAUAAGAAC